rnacentral:rRNA from 1 species
CCUACGGGGUGCAGCAGUGAGGAAUAUUGGUCAAUGGGCGGAAGCCUGAACCAGCCAAGUCGCGUGAGGGAUUAAGGCCCUGCGGGUCGUAAACCUCUUUUGCCGGGGAGCAGAGGUCCGGACGUGUCCGGGCCGGGAGAGUACCCGGAGAAAAAGCAUCGGCUAACUCCGUGCCAGCAGCCGCGGUAAUACGGAGGAUGCGAGCGUUAUCCGGAUUUAUUGGGUUUAAAGGGUGCGUAGGCGGGCGUUUAAGCCGGCGGGCAAAUGUCGGGGCUCAACCCCGGCCUGCCGUCGGAACUGGGUGCCUUGAGUGGGCGAGAAGUAUGCGGAAUGCGUGGGGGAGCGGUGAAAUGCAUAGAUAUCACGCAUAACCCCGAUGGCGAAGGCAGAAUACCGGCGCCCUACUGACGCUGAGGCACGAAAGUGCGGGGAUCGAACAGGAUUAGAUACCCUGGUAGUC